UACAAUGUUUUGACUCUUCGUCUUAUUUGAAAUUUUUUAUUAAUAUUUUUAUUCUUCCUAGAUAAUAAAAUAUGAAUAGUACUUUAUGCGUGAUUAAUUUUUUAAAGUUUUUUAAUAAAUUAUUUAAAUAAAAUAAAUGAUCAAACGUUGGACACGGAAA
rnacentral:pre_miRNA from 1 species